rnacentral:rRNA from 1 species
AGUGAACGCUGGCGGUAGGCCUAACACAUGCAAGUCGAACGGCAGCACAGUAAGAGCUUGCUCUUACGGGUGGCGAGUGGCGGACGGGUGAGGAAUACAUCGGAAUCUAAUUUUUCGUGGGGGAUAACGUAGGGAAACUUACGCUAAUACCGCAUACGACCUACGGGUGAAAGCAGUGGAUCUUCGGACCUUGCGCGACUGAAUGAGACGAUGUCGGAUUAGCUAGUUGGCGGGGUAAAGGCCCACCAAGGCGACGAUCCGUAGCUGGUCUGAGAGGAUGAUCAGCCACACUGGAACUGAGACACGGUCCAGACUCCUACGGGAGGCAGCAGUGGGGAAUAUUGGACAAUGGGCGCAAGCCUGAUCCAGCCAUACCGCGUGGGUGAAGAAGGCCUUCGGGUUGUAAAGCCCUUUUGUUGGGAAAGAAAAGCAGCAGAUUAAUACCCCGCUGUUCUGACGGUACCCAAAGAAUAAGCAACGGCUAACUUCGUG